rnacentral:misc_RNA from 1 species
CGACACACCAAACCAGACUCCCCCCUGAGAAACAAACCUUGGCGGUUGCUCCGUAUAAACUUCAUCAGCUAGCUUGCAAUGUAAAAAGGCAUUUUUGAUAUUCAGUUGAUGAAGUGGCCAAUGAUAGAUGACAACUAAGGAAAUAAGAAGGCGAACCGGGGCAAUCUUAGCCACAGAAGAGAAGGUAUCACUGUAAUCGAG